CGUGAUACACAAAACCCUGGGUGGAACCUGAAGUUACCUCGGUAACGCCAACUCUUGCUUCGUAGUACAGGCCUCAGGUGUGCAUUCUGAUUACAUGACUAUAG